rnacentral:rRNA from 1 species
UACAGAGGUCUCAAGCGUUGUUCGGAUUCAUUGGGCGUAAAGGGCGCGUAGGCGGCGGGGUAAGUCGGGUGUGAAAUCUCAGAGCUCAACUCUGAAAUGGCACUUGAUACUGCUCUGCUAGAGGACUGGGGAGGAGAUUGGAAUUCACGGUGUAGCAGUGAAAUGCGUAGAUAUCGUGAGGAAGACCGGUGGCGAAGGCGGAUCUCUGGACAGUUCCUGACGCUGAGGCACGAAGGCCAGGGGAGCAAACGGG